rnacentral:rRNA from 1 species
GACGAACGCUGACGGUGUGCUUUAGACAUGCAAGUCGAACGCGAAAGCCCUUCGGGGUUAGUAGAGUGGCGAACGGGUGAGUAACACGUGGGCAAUCUGCCCCUCGCAGGGGGACAACCGGAGGAAACUCCGGCUAAUACCCCGUACGCUUGCUGGACCGCAUGGUCCAGUAAGGAAAGGUAGCUUCGGCCAUCCGGCGAGGGAUGAGCCCGCGGUGCAUUAGCUAGUUGGUGAGGUAACGGCUCACCAAGGCAACGAUGCAUAGCUGGUCUGAGAGGAUGAUCAGCCACACUGGGACUGAGACACGGCCCAGACUCCUACGGGAGGCAGCAGUCGGGAAUCUUGCGCAAUGGGCGAAAGCCUGACGCAGCAACGCCGUGUGAGCGACGAA